CCUACGUCACUAGCGUACUUUGCGUAGCUGUACGACGGGAACCAGACUAUAUUUAUAUAUAGAUCUAAAAUGAUACAAACUUAAAAUAUGCGAAUAAUCAUAAACAUGAUAAAUAGAAGUAUUUAUAUACAAAGGGGAAAUACAGCGAAAUACUUUUUUUCUGAAACAAUUUAAACCGAACAGUAUCAUUUUAUUCUAUAGUGUUCAUUGUGUAAUAAUCAAACCACUGAAAUAGUUUGAAAUAAUUCAGAAUCGAAAACAGACAUUUUUACGGAAGCCUAAUAGGGCCGUUUUGAGUUAGAACUUGGAUGAAAACAAUUAGAAGUUAGAAGUUAUGACUUAGACCUUAGAACUUAGAGCUUAGAUGUUAGAAAUAUAAAAAGCGCGAAUUUACAGGAAAACACAGUGAGGGCCGGAAGAGAAAGAACAAGACAAAAGCCACGACGUCUUACUACACAAUAAUUUUUGGAGUGCUGUUCGUCUAUAUAACAACAGUAAAUAGUGUUGUGACUUCGGGUAUCACCGAUGCCAGUAAUAAUUCACCAUCUGUAAUAGCUUCAUACUUUUUAGAAACUGUAAAGGAAUAAGGUAUUGUGCCAAGGCUACUUCGUUGUGACAGAGGAACUGAAAAUGCAAAAUUGGCAUUGCUACAACCAUUUUUUUCAGAUACGAAGGUACAGACAGUGUUUCUGGUUUGAAAAGCUUCAUGUAUGGGAAGAAUGUAUCUAACCAGCGAAUAGAAUCUUGGUGGAAAUAUUGCGUAGACAAGGUGUUCACUAGUGGAUUGCGUAAUUUAAGGACAUCGUGGAUGCGAAUGUUCUUGAUAUAACAAACAAGGUGCACAUGAAUGUUUGAAAUACAGCUUCAUGGAUUUAAUCCAAGCAGUACUCGAUAUGAUUGCACAACAAUGGAAUGUCCCUGAAAUUCGAGCUCAAAAGCAUUCUGAUAAUCCGUGUGGAAUGCCAGAUGUUAUGAUUUUUGUACCGGAAAUAUAUGGUGGACACGGCUUUGGUCAUAACGUUGACCAGGAAGAUAUCGAGAUAUGCAUGGAGUUGUAUGGAGAACAAAAGCAGCUAUAUUCAGAUGAAACAAAAGAACUGUUUCAGCUGUUGUUCUGGAUCAUGUAAGACCUACGGAUGCAGAAGAAGCUUCAGAUUUGUACACACAAGCGCUACACUUGAUAGAUAAAUAUUCACAAACAUGUAACUGACAGUUUGUAUUUCGUAUGAAUUUAGCUGAUAUCAUAGAUGAACGGUCAAGUAAGCCAGUCGUUGAUUUUUUAUUGUUAGUUAAACUGGCUGCAAGUUAAUAUUUUGUGGACCGUUUUAAAGUGUUUACAAACUUGUGUCUUGACUGAAAUCAAAUUAUUCUGAAACUGUUAAGAGCUUUAAGCGUUACGUAUAAGGCGUACAUCAGCAGCACUCUUAAAACAGGAAACAAGACACAUUAAACUAUACUUUUCUUAUGUCUUGAGUAAUUUAUUCGCAUCUGGCGUACUAUUUUGGUUCAUAUUAUCAUAUUAUUUACCCUCGAUCCGUUUGCUCAUGUAACGCUGAAAUAAUUAUGUACAUGUAUUUGUUUCCUGACAUUUAAUGAAUUUUUUGCAUACUGGUACUUACAUAUGUUAAUAGAUGAUACAAUUGUGUUUAAGAUCAGUAUUAAAACAAGAGCCAUAUUAGACAUUGUCAAUCCCUCGUCGGGAAACGUGCAUUUAAGGAUAAACUUACUCCUAAUAUACUCAGUGUAUGAAGAUUGAAGGAAAUGCGUUUAGUACUUUUGGAGUUAUACUCCGGACAAAAUGUUAAAGUAAAUAUAAUAAAGAUCGAUAAUGUGGA